rnacentral:rRNA from 1 species
AUGGAUCCAGCGACGACGAUGCCUCGUCCGCGCAAGAAGUCGCGGCAGUCCGGCUCUGCCCGUGUUGGGCAACCGAAACAGAGGGAUGCACUGAUGGAGCAGAGCUUACCUGCCACAGGAUAUGAGUUGCCGGUGACCAAAAACCCGUCGGUGCAGUUGGAUGUAGUAGGGCCGACGGGGAAUCCUGGCUCCAGCGGCCUGGCAGCGCUCGCCGUCGGGCUCGCGAGGCGCCUUGCCGAUGGGAGCGUGGACGACAACCUAGUCUUCUCGCCGCUGUCCAUCUACACCGCUCUGGCGCUCCUGGCCGCCGGCGCCCGGGAUGCCACACUGGACGAGAUCCUCCGCGUGCUCGGCGCACGGUCGCGCAGCGAGCUCGAGAACUUCGUGUCGCACAUGGCGGCGGACGCACUCCAAGACAGGUCCGCCUCGGGCGGCCCCCGCAUAGCAUUCGCGUGUGGCAUCUGGAGCGACCUGACGAGGUGUCUGAAGCUGUCCUUCCGUGAGGCCGUCGUGGGCACGUACAAGGCCGAGGCCAGCAGCGUCGACUUCCGCGGCACGCCGGAGGCAGCCCGGAGCCAGAUCAACGGGUGGGCGGCUCAGGUGACGAGGAACCUCAUCGACUCGGUCCUCCCGGCGGGGUCGAUAAGCCCGGCGACUCGGGUCGUGCUCGGCAACGCCAUGUACUUCAAGGGCAAUUGGGAGGACCAGCCGUUCGACAAGAGGCACACCGCACACGAACCAUUUUACCGGCUCGACCGCAGCCAGGUCGACGUGCCCUUCAUGCAGAGCUCGGACUCACAGUUCGUCGCCGUGCAUGACGGGUUCAAGGUGCUCAUGCUCCAGUACAAGAUGGCGGCGCCAGAUUACCAGGAACAGGCGACCUCUAACUCCGAUCAUAGCGGGCAUACGCAGUUCUCGAUGUGCAUCUUCCUCCCGGACGCCCAUGACGGUCUGCUGGGGCUUCUGGACACGAUAGCGUCCCGGCCUGGGUUCCUGCAGGACCACCUGCCGGAGGUGCAGAUCACCCUCAGCGAGUUUCGGGUGCCAAAGUUCAAGCUGUCCUUCCACAGCAGCGUCGUUGCCGUCCUCAAGAAGCUGGGGCUCGAGCUGCCAUUCUGCCUGGAAGGCGACCUAGCUGACAUGGUGGAGGACGACGGCUCUGGCUUGCCGAUUGUAGUGGAGGAUGUCAUCCACAAGGCCGUCGUUGAGGUAAACGAGGAAGGUACUGAAGCCGCCGCGGUCACUAUGGUCAUCUCGGCUCCUAGAUGCGCACGAAGGGGGAGGAGGCCACCGCCUCCACAAGUGAAUUUCAUCGCCGACCAUCCGUUUGCUUACUACAUAGUGGAGGAGGCGACCGGCGCAGUUGUCUUUGCGGGGCAUGUUGUCGACCCCUCCAAGGAGUAA